CCUACGGGAGGCUGCAGUGAGGAAUAUUGGUCAAUGGGCGUAAGCCUGAACCAGCCAAGUCGCGUGAGGGAUGAAGGUUCUAUGGAUCGUAAACCUCUUUUAUAAGGGAAUAAAGUGUGGGACGUGUCCUAUUUUGUAUGUACCUUAUGAAUAAGGAUCGGCUAACUCCGUGCCAGCAGCCGCGGUAAUACGGAGGAUCCGAGCGUUAGCCGGAUUUAUUGGGUUUAAAGGGUGCGUAGGCGGCCUUUUAAGUCAGCGGUGAAAGUCUGUGGCUCAACCAUAGAAUUGCCGUUGAAACUGGGAGGCUUGAGUACGUGUGAGGAAGGCGGAAUGCGUGGUGUAGCGGUGAAAUGCUUAGAUAUCACGCAGAACCCCGAUUGCGAAGGCAGCCUGCCAAGCCAUGACUGACGCUGAUGCACGAAAGCGUGGGGAUCAAACAGGAUUAGAUACCCCAGUAGUC
rnacentral:rRNA from 1 species